UGGGGCAGAAAGAUUUACCUGUUUGUUUUCAGUCCAUAACUCAAAAAGUUUUGGACGGACUUUAGUGAAAUUUUGCAUGCGGCUUCCCAACUGACUCGUGUAUAAUUGUUAUGAUCGUUUUUAAUUUUGUCAUGAUUGUUGCCUAGCUAUGGCGGAGAUUACAAAAAGAGCCCAAAUUGCGGCGCCGAUGCAGGCUGGCCACAGCGUCCGAAGCGUUCCAAAACAGCUCGGCGUUACCAUAAAAACUGUUAACAAUCUAAAGAAAUGCCUUAAAGGGACAGGCACAGUGUCGAGGAAGCCCAUCCCAGGCAGAACAAGACAUGUCCGCGCUAAAGAGCUGGUUGAUAUCGUGCACAAGAUGGUGUCUCGAACUCCUUGGCGAAAUAUGCGCAAACUGGCAAAGGAC